GACGAACGCUGGCGGCGUGCUUAACACAUGCGAGUCGAACGAUGAAGGAGAGCUUGCUCUCCGGAUUAGUGGCGAACGGGUGAGUAACACGUGACUAACCUGCCCCUUUCUCUGGGAUAACGCCCCGAAAGGAGUGCUAAUACCGGAUACGAACUCUGAACACAUGUUCGGAGUUGGAAAGGUUUUCGGAAAGGGAUGGAGUCGCGGCCUAUCAGCUUGUUGGUGAGGUAACGGCUCACCAAGGCGACGACGGGUAGCCGGCCUGGGAGGGCGACCGGCCACACUGGGACUGAGACACGGCCCAGACUCCUACGGGAGGCAGCAGUGGGGAAUAUUGCACAAUGGGCGAAAGCCUGAUGCAGCGACGCCGCGUGAGGGAUGAAGGUCUUCGGAUUGUAAACCUCUUUCAGUAGGGACGAAGCGAAAGUGACGGUACCUAAAGAAGAAGCACCGGCUAACUACGUGCCAGCAGCCGCCGUAA
rnacentral:rRNA from 1 species